rnacentral:sRNA from 1 species
CAGGGUAUCAAAUCGUUAGGGAUGAGAACCGUAAAAGGUUCGAGCCGAGCGAAGCGAGACAGCAACGCGCAGCGUUGACCCGAAGGGCGAGUAAUCCCGCACGACCCACCA